rnacentral:lncRNA from 1 species
UUCACCCGUCUCCUCCUCAAUCUUCUUGCAUAUUUCCAACUAUUUUCAUAGUUCCUAAAUUGGCGGACCAAACACGUCAUACCCAAAGCAUAGGAAAUUUAACAAACUCAACAAGCUCAUGACCUGGAAAAAAUAGCAGGUUCGAAUCCUAUUUCUGCCUAGUGCCUUAGUUCAGUCUCAAAAAGGGGAUAAUAGAAGCCUAGCACUGAAUAUGCCUAGUGCCUUGGUUCAGUCUCAAUUAUAUUAUCAGAGAUGGGAUAAUGGGAUAAUUAGUGGCUAUCGAAUAAUUAAACCGAAAAACGAAAAUGAACACUGAUAAAUAGGCUAGCAUUUUAUCUGCAAACUAAAGAGAACUGACUGCAAUAAGAAUUUUACAUUUCAACUGGUACAAUUUGUGUUCCAAAAGAGUAUCUUCUUAUCACACAUACUUUGCUUGAAUUCAAAUUGUGAGAUGUCCAAGGAGGGAACUUUGAAGUGGAGGAACACCGAUGGAGGUAGAUUAUCAUUACCCUGUUACUUCUCGUUUGAUCUUCAAAUCACUUGAUUUAAAGAGCACAUGAUCGACCCCGCUUGACAAUUCAAACCAGUGUGAAGGCAAAUAGAACAGCUACUAAACAGAAAGAAGCUAGCCGGCUAGGUAAAAACAAAAUCCAAUAUCCAGAAGGUGACUAAAGCGUUUAAAGAAGUUGCCAGCCUAACUAGAACUUAAGCAGUCUUCUGAAAAUGCUGAGUUAAUAGCCUCGCAAUCUCUAGAAAACCAACCUUGUCCUUGCCAUCAAAUAUCGUCUUCAACUUGUUGUCACAAUGGAUCUCUCUUUUGUUUGCAGGAUUCUGCAAAUCACAAAGUUACAAGCAUUGUGUCAGGACUUGACCAGAGAGAGGAGCUAGCCC